CGUCUAACUGUUCGGUCACCAUACGGCAGGGUUAGAGGAAAUGGACUACUGUGGGAAAGCUCUGAGAGAGUCCUAGGGGUGGCGAAGCUAGUGCCCCAUGAGCGCAAGACUGGCGGGU
rnacentral:ncRNA from 1 species